AGCAGCCGCGGUAAUUCCAGCUCCAAUAGCGUAUAUUAAAGUUGUUGCAGUUAAAAAGCUCGUAGUCGAAUUUCGGGAUCAAUAUUUCGGUCAUGCCGUUGGUAUGCACUGUUAUCAUUGAUUUCUCACCUUCUAAAGAACCGUAAUGCCAUUAAUUUGGUGUUACGGGGAAUUAGGACUGUUACCUUGAAAAAAUUAGAGUGUUUAAAGCAGGCUCACGCUUGAAUACAUUAGCAUGGAAUAAUGAAAUAGGACAUCCGAUUCUAUUUUGUUGGUUUCUAGGAUCGAUGUAAUGAUUAAUAGGGAUAGUUGGGGGCAUUAGUAUUCAAUUGUCAGAGGUGAAAUUCUUGGAUUUAUUGAAGACUAACUACUGCGGAAGCAUUUGCCAAGGAUGUUUUCAUUAAUCAAGAACGAAAGUUAGGGGAUCGAAGACGAUCAGAUACCGUCGUAGUCUUAACCAUAAACUAUGCCGACUAGGGAUCGGAUGAUGUUAAUUUUUUAAUGACUCAUUCGGCGUAC
rnacentral:sRNA from 1 species